rnacentral:rRNA from 1 species
AACGAACGCUGGCGGCAGGCCUAACACAUGCAAGUCGAGCGAAGCCUUCGGGCUUAGCGGCGGACGGGUGAGUAACGCGUGGGAACGUGCCCUUUGGUACGGAAUAGCCCCGGGAAACUGGGAGUAAUACCGUAUGUGGUCGAGAGACGAAAGAUUUAUCGCCAAAGGAUCGGCCCGCGUUGGAUUAGGUAGUUGGUGGGGUAAUGGCCUACCAAGCCGACGAUCCAUAGCUGGUUUGAGGGGAUGAUCAGCCACACUGGGACUGAGCCACGGCCCAGACUCCUACGGGAGGCAGCAGUGGGGAAUCUUAGACAAUGGGGGAAACCCUGAUCUAGCCAUGCCGCGUGAUCGAUGAAGGCCUUAGGGUUGUAAAGAUCUUUCAGUGGGGAAGAUAAUGACUGUACCCACAGAAGAAGCCCCGGCUAACUCCGUGCCAGCCGCCGCGGUAAGAC